rnacentral:rRNA from 1 species
AUUGAACGCUGGCGGCAUGCCUUACACAUGCAAGUCGAACGGCAGCACGGGAGCAAUCCUGGUGGCGAGUGGCGAACGGGUGAGUAAAGUAUCGGAACGUGCCCAGUCGUGGGGGACAACGUAGCGAAAGUUACGCUAAUACCGCAUACGAUCUAGGGAUGAAAGGGGGGGAUCGCAAGACCUCGCGCGAUUGGAGCGGCCGAUAUCAGAUUAGGGAGUUGGUGGGGUAAAGGCUCACCAAGCCAACGAUCUGUAGAGGGUCUGAGAGGACGACCAGCCACACUGGGACUGAGACACGGCCCAGACUCCUACGGGAGGCAGCAGUGGGGAAUUUUGGACAAUGGGCGAAAGCCUGAUCCAGCCAUGCCGCGUGCAGGAUGAAGGCCUUCGGGUUGUAAACUGCUUUUGUACGGAACGAAAAGGUUUGGGCUAAUAAGCUGAGCUCAUGACGGUACCGUAAGAAUAAGCACCGGCUAACUACGUGCCAGCCGCCGCGGUAA